rnacentral:rRNA from 1 species
UACGUAGGGACCAAGCGUUGUUCGGAUUUACUGGGCGUAAAGGGCGCGUAGGCGGCAAUUCAAGUCAGCUGUGAAAUCUCCGGGCUUAACUCGGAACGGUCAGCUGAUACUGCUUUGCUAGAGUGCAGAAGGGGCAAUCGGAAUUCUUGGUGUAGCGGUGAAAUGCGUAGAUAUCAAGAGGAACACCUGAGGUGAAGGCGGGUUGCUGGGCUGACACUGACGCUGAGGCGCGAAAGCUAGGGUAGCAAACGGG